rnacentral:pre_miRNA from 1 species
UUAACUCAAAUUUGUAUGGAGUUGGAACGUUUGCCUGUUCCAUCUGCAUACAACUUUGAGUUA